AGCUUGCUUUUGAAAGUUGAGUGGCAAACGGGUGAGUAACGCGUAGACAACCUGCCGUAAAGAUGGGGACAACAGUCCGAAAGGACUGCUAAUACCGAAUGUUGUGGAACUUCCGCAUGGGAGCUUCCCUAAAGAUGGCCUUUACUUGUAAGCUAUCGCUUUUCGAUGGGUUUGCGUUUGAUUAGCUAGUUGGUGGGGUAACGGCUUUCCAAGGCGACGAUCAGUAGCCGGUUUGAGAGGAUGAACGGCCCCACUGGAAAUGAGACACGGUCCCGACUCCUACGGGAGGCAGCAGUGGGGAAUUUUUCGCAAUGGGCGAAAGCCUGACGGAGCAACGCCGCGUGAGUGAAGAAGGCCUUCGGGUUGUAAAGCUUUGUUAAUCGGGACGAACGGCCCUGUGAACAAUACGCGCAGGGAAUGACGGUACCAGGAAAGAAAGCCCCGGCUAACUACGUG
rnacentral:rRNA from 1 species